rnacentral:rRNA from 1 species
UACGUAGGGUGCAAGCGUUAAUCGGAAUUACUGGGCGUAAAGCGUGCGCAGGCGGCUUUGCAAGACAGAUGUGAAAUCCCCGGGCUCAACCUGGGAACUGCAUUUGUGACUGCAUGGCUAGAGUACGGUAGAGGGGGAUGGAAUUCCGCGUGUAGCAGUGAAAUGCGUAGAUAUGCGGAGGAAUACCGAUGGCGAAGGCAAUCCCCCUGGACCUGUACUGACGCUCAUGCACGAAAGACGUGGGGAGCA